rnacentral:ncRNA from 13 species
GACCCAAUGGUCAAGAUGGUUAAGACAUAACAUUUUCACUGUUAGUGGGGGAGUUCAAUCCUCCCUUGGGUUG